ACCUAUUUUUAAGCCUAAUUUUCGGAACUAGUCCAUAAUUUCCAAGCCCAUAAUUCCUAGGCUCAUACCCCCUAACCUAAAAACCCAUAUAAAACAAAUGAGACCUAGGGCCUAAGAGAGACAAUCCGCCGUUUCCCUUCUGCAUCUACAUAAAAAUUUCCUACACUAAAAAGAAAGCAGCGGAAGAACGAGACCCCUCCCUGACUCUGCCGUCUCAAUCCCUUAUCAAUUCCUAAUAGCGCUCUACCACACCCCGCUACCCAUAUCCAUCGCCCAUGCUCGUUCCUUUUUCCAAAAUCAAAUCCACCCAUUUACUCAAUUCUCAAAAUUUAGCACUGUUGUAUCAGUAUUCGAGAAAAUUAGAUCAACUUAUAUAUUUUUGAUAAUUCAAGGUUUGUUAUUCAAUUAUUAGAUUGAAUGCAAAUAAAGAGAUGGGAAUAACUGAUAAGUAAUUUAAAAAUCUGAUUAUCAUGUCGAUCUCUAGCUUCUUCUUCUGAUUUCUAAUUUGAAAAAAAAACCAUGGAAUUCAAUCGAGUUUGAAUGCUGUUGCUCUUCAUUUGGACAAAACUGUAACCCGAAGUUUCUCUAAUCUGGAAGAAAUUUUUCGCCAUUGAGGUGUUCCCUCGUGAAUGCGGAGGAGCUGGAGUUUUAACUACAUCCUCCAUUUUGAUCCGGAAAUAGAAUGUUCUCUUCCCAGGUUAAGGGGGAGGCCGAAGCUAGAGCUAAAAUUGUAGAGUUGGGCAUCGUAGUCCAACCACAGACAAUAAAAAUGGCAGAAAACGACGAGCGACCAGUGAUAGAGAGUGCAAGGCCUAAUCUUGCUAAUAUGACUCAGACUAUCUUGAAGCCUAAUAUCACUAGUCACUUUGAGCUUAAACAGUGCAUGGUGCAGUUAAUUCAGUCCAUAAGGCAAUUUGUGGGUCUCUCUCAUGAAGACCCACAGAUACAUAUCCACAACUUUUUGAAAAUUACAGAUACUUAUAAUUAUCUGAAUAUUUUCAAAGAUUAUGUCAGACUGACAAUGUUUCUCUUU